GGGUUGUGAGGUUAAGCGACUAAGCGUACACGGUGGAUGCCCUGGCAGUCAGAGGCGAUGAAGGACGUGCUAAUCUGCGAUAAGCGUCGGUAAGGUGAUAUGAACCGUUAUAACCGGCGAUUUCCGAAUGGGGAAACCCAGUGUGAUUCGUCACACUAUCAUUAACUGAAUCCAUAGGUUAAUGAGGCGAACCGGGGGAACUGAAACAUCUAAGUACCCCGAGGAAAAGAAAUCAACCGAGAUUCCCCCAGUAGCGGCGAGCGAACGGGGAGGAGCCCAGAGCCUGAAUCAGUGUGUGUGUUAGUGGAAGCGUCUGGAAAGGCGCGCGAUACAGGGUGACAGCCCCGUACACAAAAAUGCACAUGCUGUGAGCUCGAUGAGUAGGGCGGGACACGUGGUAUCCUGUCUGAAUAUGGGGGGACCAUCCUCCAAGGCUAAAUACUCCUGACUGACCGAUAGUGAACCAGUACCGUGAGGGAAAGGCGAAAAGAACCCCGGCGAGGGGAGUGAAAAAGAACCUGAAACCGUGUACGUACAAGCAGUGGGAGCACGCUUAGGCGUGUGACUGCGUACCUUUUGUAUAAUGGGUCAGCGACUUAUAUUCUGUAGCAAGGUUAACCGAAUAGGGGAGCCGAAGGGAAACCGAGUCUUAACUGGGCGUUAAGUUGCAGGGUAUAGACCCGAAACCCGGUGAUCUAGCCAUGGGCAGGUUGAAGGUUGGGUAACACUAACUGGAGGACCGAACCGACUAAUGUUGAAAAAUUAGCGGAUGACUUGUGGCUGGGGGUGAAAGGCCAAUCAAACCGGGAGAUAGCUGGUUCUCCCCGAAAGCUAUUUAGGUAGCGCCUCGUGAAUUCAUCUCCGGGGGUAGAGCACUGUUUCGGCAAGGGGGUCAUCCCGACUUACCAACCCGAUGCAAACUGCGAAUACCGGAGAAUGUUAUCACGGGAGACACACGGCGGGUGCUAACGUCCGUCGUGAAGAGGGAAACAACCCAGACCGCCAGCUAAGGUCCCAAAGUCAUGGUUAAGUGGGAAACGAUGUGGGAAGGCCCAGACAGCCAGGAUGUUGGCUUAGAAGCAGCCAUCAUUUAAAGAAAGCGUAAUAGCUCACUGGUCGAGUCGGCCUGCGCGGAAGAUGUAACGGGGCUAAACCAUGCACCGAAGCUGCGGCAGCGACACUAUGUGUUGUUGGGUAGGGGAGCGUUCUGUAAGCCUGUGAAGGUGUGCUGUGAGGCAUGCUGGAGGUAUCAGAAGUGCGAAUGCUGACAUAAGUAACGAUAAAGCGGGUGAAAAGCCCGCUCGCCGGAAGACCAAGGGUUCCUGUCCAACGUUAAUCGGGGCAGGGUGAGUCGACCCCUAAGGCGAGGCCGAAAGGCGUAGUCGAUGGGAAACAGGUUAAUAUUCCUGUACUUGGUGUUACUGCGAAGGGGGGACGGAGAAGGCUAUGUUGGCCGGGCGACGGUUGUCCCGGUUUAAGCGUGUAGGCUGGUUUUCCAGGCAAAUCCGGAAAAUCAAGGCUGAGGCGUGAUGACGAGGCACUACGGUGCUGAAGCAACAAAUGCCCUGCUUCCAGGAAAAGCCUCUAAGCAUCAGGUAACAUCAAAUCGUACCCCAAACCGACACAGGUGGUCAGGUAGAGAAUACCAAGGCGCUUGAGAGAACUCGGGUGAAGGAACUAGGCAAAAUGGUGCCGUAACUUCGGGAGAAGGCACGCUGAUAUGUAGGUGAAGUCCCUCGCGGAUGGAGCUGAAAUCAGUCGAAGAUACCAGCUGGCUGCAACUGUUUAUUAAAAACACAGCACUGUGCAAACACGAAAGUGGACGUAUACGGUGUGACGCCUGCCCGGUGCCGGAAGGUUAAUUGAUGGGGUCAGCGCAAGCGAAGCUCUUGAUCGAAGCCCCGGUAAACGGCGGCCGUAACUAUAACGGUCCUAAGGUAGCGAAAUUCCUUGUCGGGUAAGUUCCGACCUGCACGAAUGGCGUAAUGAUGGCCAGGCUGUCUCCACCCGAGACUCAGUGAAAUUGAACUCGCUGUGAAGAUGCAGUGUACCCGCGGCAAGACGGAAAGACCCCGUGAACCUUUACUAUAGCUUGACACUGAACAUUGAGCCUUGAUGUGUAGGAUAGGUGGGAGGCUUUGAAGUGUGGACGCCAGUCUGCAUGGAGCCGACCUUGAAAUACCACCCUUUAAUGUUUGAUGUUCUAACGUUGACCCGUGAUCCGGGUUGCGGACAGUGUCUGGUGGGUAGUUUGACUGGGGCGGUCUCCUCCUAAAGAGUAACGGAGGAGCACGAAGGUUGGCUAAUCCUGGUCGGACAUCAGGAGGUUAGUGCAAUGGCAUAAGCCAGCUUGACUGCGAGCGUGACGGCGCGAGCAGGUGCGAAAGCAGGUCAUAGUGAUCCGGUGGUUCUGAAUGGAAGGGCCAUCGCUCAACGGAUAAAAGGUACUCCGGGGAUAACAGGCUGAUACCGCCCAAGAGUUCAUAUCGACGGCGGUGUUUGGCACCUCGAUGUCGGCUCAUCACAUCCUGGGGCUGAAGUAGGUCCCAAGGGUAUGGCUGUUCGCCAUUUAAAGUGGUACGCGAGCUGGGUUUAGAACGUCGUGAGACAGUUCGGUCCCUAUCUGCCGUGGGCGCUGGAGAACUGAGGGGGGCUGCUCCUAGUACGAGAGGACCGGAGUGGACGCAUCACUGGUGUUCGGGUUGUCAUGCCAAUGGCACUGCCCGGUAGCUAAAUGCGGAAGAGAUAAGUGCUGAAAGCAUCUAAGCACGAAACUUGCCCCGAGAUGAGUUCUCCCUGACCCUUUAAGGGUCCUGAAGGAACGUUGAAGACGACGACGUUGAUAGGCCGGGUGUGUAAGCGCAGCGAUGCGUUGAGCUAACCGGUACUAAUGAACCGUGAGGCUUAACCUUACAACGCCGAAG
rnacentral:rRNA from 1 species